rnacentral:rRNA from 1 species
AUUGAACGCUGGCGGCAGGCCUAACACAUGCAAGUCGAGCGGUAGAGAGGUGCUUGCACCUCUUGAGAGCGGCGGACGGGUGAGUAAUGCCUAGGAAUCUGCCUGGUAGUGGGGGAUAACGUUCGGAAACGGACGCUAAUACCGCAUACGUCCUACGGGAGAAAGCAGGGGACCUUCGGGCCUUGCGCUAUCAGAUGAGCCUAGGUCGGAUUAGCUAGUUGGUGAGGUAAUGGCUCACCAAGGCGACGAUCCGUAACUGGUCUAAGAGGGUGAUCAGUCACACUGGAACUGAGACACGGUCCAGACUCCUACGGGAGGCAGCAGUGGGGAAUAUUGGACAAUGGGCGAAAGCCUGAUCCAGCCAUGCCGCGUGUGUGAAGAAGGUCUUCGGAUUGUAAAGCACUUUAAGUUGGGAGGAAGGGUUGUAGAUUAAUACUCUGCAAUUUUGACGUUACCGACAGAAUAAGCACCGGCUAACUCUGUGCCAGCCGCCGCGGUAAUAC